rnacentral:rRNA from 1 species
GACGAACGCUGGCGGCGUGCUUAACACAUGCAAGUCGAGCGGUAAGGCCCUUUCGGGGGUACACGAGCGGCGAACGGGUGAGUAACACGUGGGUGACCUGCCCUCAGCUCUGGGAUAAGCCUGGGAAACCGGGUCUAAUACCGGAUAUGACUCCAUGACGCAUGUUGUGGGGUGGAAAGCCUUGUGCGGCUGAGGAUGGGCCCGCGGCCUAUCAGCUUGUUGGUGGGGUGAGGCCUACCAAGGCGACGACGGGUAGCCGGCCUGAGAGGGCGACCGGCCACACUGGGACUGAGACACGGCCCAGACUCCUACGGGAGGCAGCAGGUGGGGAAUCUUGCGCAAUGGGACGAAAGCCUGACGCAGCGACGCCGCGUGA